CUGGCCCUGAAUCAAGGCCAUCGGUUUGCUGUAGCCGUUGGUUUCAAACAGGAGCCCAGAGGAAACGUCUCCCGGUCUGUUGGUGCUCCCGUGCCAUGGAACAGCCAAUUCGUGUGGGAGCAACAAAG
rnacentral:snoRNA from 1 species